UAAGGAAUAUUGGUCAAUGGGCGGAAGCCUGAACCAGCCAUGCCGCGUGCAGGAAGACGGCCCUACGGGUUGUAAACUGCUUUUGUACGGGAAUAAACCUUGGUACGUGUACCAAGCUGAAUGUACCGUAAGAAUAAGGAUCGGCUAACUCCGUGCCAGGCAGCCGCGGUAAUACGGAGGAUCCGAGCGUUAUCCGGAUUUAUUGGGUUUAAAGGGUGCGUAGGCGGCUUUUUUAAGUCAGGGGUGAAAGACGGCAGCUCAACUGUCGCAGUGCCUUUGAUACUGAAGAGCUUGAAUGCACUUGAAGUAGGCGGAAUGUGACAAGUAGCGGUGAAAUGCAUAGAUAUGUCACAGAACACCAAUUGCGAAGGCAGCUUACUAAAGUGUGAUUGACGCUGAGGCACGAAAGCGUGGGGAUCAAACAGGAUUAGAUACCCUGGUAGUCCACGCCCUAAACGAUGAACACUCGAUGUUGGCGAUAUAUGGUCAGCGUCUAAGCGAAAAGCGUUAAGUGUUCCACCUGGGGGAGUACGCCCCGCAAGGGGUGAAACUUAAAGGGAAUUGACGGGGUCAUAGCUG
rnacentral:rRNA from 1 species